GAGUUUGAUCAUGGCUCAGGGUGAACGCUGGCGGCGUGCCUUACACAUGCAAGUUGAACGAGAACGGCUCAAUUUGCUUCUUCGGAAGCAAAAUGAGCUUGGGACAGUAGCGAACGAGUGAGUAACACGUAGUAACCUGCCCACUGGAGGGGGAGAACCACUGGAAACGGUGGCUAAUACCGCAUAAGCCCGAAAGGGGAAAGCAAUUUAUUGUGCCGGUGGAGGGGACUGCGGGCCAUCAGGAAGAUGGUGAGGUAAAAGCUCACCAAACCGACGACGGCUAUCUGACGUGAGAGCGUGAUCAGACACGAGGACACUGAGAAACGGGUCCUACUCCUACGGGAGGCAGCAGUGGGGAAUAUUGGACAAUGGGGGAAACCCUGAUCCAGCGACGCCGCGUGAACGACGAAGUCCUUCGGGAUGUAAAGUUCUUUUAAAUGGGAAGAAGACAGUGACGGUACCAAUUGAAUAAGCCCCGGCUAACUACGUGCCAGCAGCCGCGGUAA
rnacentral:rRNA from 1 species